rnacentral:tRNA from 1 species
GCGGAAAUGCUGGAAUUGGCAGACAGGCAUGACUAAGGAUCAUGUGUUCCCAGAACGUGAGGGUUCAAGUCCCUUUUUCCGCA